AUUGAACGCUGGCGGCAGGCCUAACACAUGCAAGUCGAGCGAGCGGCUGACGGGUGAGUAAUUCCUAGGUAUCUGCCUUGUCGUGUGGGAUGACUAAUGUAAACGGUAGCUAAUACCGCACCCCAUUGGAUUUGCCCAGAUGGGUUUAGCUUGUAGGUGAGGUAAAGGCUCACCAAGGCGACGAUCCCUAGCUGGUCUGAGAGGAUGACCAGCCACACUGGAACUGAGACACGGGCCAGACUCCUACGGGAGGCAGCAGUGGGGAAUAUUGCACAAUGGGCGAAAGCCUGAUGCAGCCAUGCCGCGUGUAUGAAGAAGGCCUUCGGGUUGUAAAGUACUGUCAGCAGGGAGGCGUUACCCGAAGAAGAAGCACCGGCUAACUACGUGCCAGCAGCCGCGGUAAUUC
rnacentral:rRNA from 1 species